rnacentral:rRNA from 1 species
UAGGGAAUCUUCGGCAAUGGGGGGAACCCUGACCGAGCAACGCCGCGUGAGUGAAGAAGGUUUUCGGAUCGUAAAGCUCUGUUGUUAAGGAAGAACGAGUGUGAGAAUGGAAAGUUCAUACUGUGACGGUACUUAACCAGAAAGGGACGGCUAACUACGUGCCAGCAGCCGCGGUAAUACGUAGGUGGCAAGCGUUGUCCGGAUUUAUUGGGCGUAAAGCGAGCGCAGGCGGUUAGAAAAGUCUGAAGUGAAAGGCAGUGGCUCAACCAUUGUAGGCUUUGGAAACUGUUUAACUUGAGUGCAGAAGGGGAGAGUGGAAUUCCAUGUGUAGCGGUGAAAUGCGUAGAUAUAUGGAGGAACACCGGUGGCGAAAGCGGCUCUCUGGUCUGUAACUGACGCUGAGGCUCGAAAGCGUGGGGAGCGAACAGG